AGGUUUCCAGGUGUUUUCAAGAGCCUUCAGAGAAGUACAUGUAUUUGCAUUUGGCUCAUAUUUUCUGGUGGUUUAGAAGUGGCCUUCUUUUUGCUGAGAUAAAUUCCUAGCAGCUGGUACUAAGAUCUGCAUACAGGGACAUACUCUUCCCCAAAGCAUGUCACAGCAAGACUUUAGGAGUGCUCCAGUCCUUCAACACUUGGCUUGAUGGUCUGUUCAUCCAGAUGUUGUUGUCUUUAAUCUAGCUAGGAGCCUGACGUUAUUUAUCACUGAAUUUUAUAAGAGUGCCAAAAGCUUUGUCGCCUCAGAACAGAAGAGUAACCCACGCAGCGUCGUUGUGCAGCCUGGGAUCUGGACCCAGGCCAGUGGGAGCACCUGGUCCUCCUCUCUCCGCAGCCAAGGUCUCCAGUCUCAAAGCGGUUUAGCACAUGCCAGUACCAUCAACAGCCGAAAGAUGACACUGCAGCACAAGCUUCCCGAAAUUAGCCAUGCUGUUGCUUUUUAAAGGACAGGAAAUAAGGAAAUACAGCUUUUUGUAUAGGCUGUGCCUUCUCUCCACACUCCCCCCUCAAAUAGGUAGAUGAUAGGUAAUUACAUAGAUAGAUAGAUAAGAUAGAUAAAAUUGUUGCAAGGAUAAAGCUGUCCUUUAGCUCAAAUGUCAGUUUUAUGACAUUUUCAGACAAAACAACUUUGGUUCCUGUCUCGCAGUACAAGAUGUGCCCCCCCCCCCCCCCCCGUGCUGUCAGGCUAAUCCACUAGAGGGCACGACAGGGCACAACAACAGUCUGAGGCUGUCUUCUGAUGACAACCACACGUGUGAGCAGCAACCCCUUCCUGUCAGCUGCCCUCUCUGGUUGAUUCAAGUUUUUGUAGGUGUGCAGCAAAGCUUUUGAAGAUCCUUUUCAAAAGAGAUGAAAAUGUUUUCCUUUCUCUGUAUAAAGAUUUACAUUAUGAAGCAUGAGCUGCCUGCCCAGUUCCUCUUCAAAUUUGUUUUAUUCAUGGAUUCUCUUCAGACUGUAUUAUGUUUACCAGCCAUCCUCAAACAGACUUCAAAGACCAAUAAAGGAGUUCCUUGGAGGCCUGAACUGGAAGAGGGAGCCAGGGAGGUAGAAGGCUGUGGUGGAUCACUGCUGGGUUUUGAAGUUGACUGGACAGCAAGAACUUCUGUCAGCUUAUGA
rnacentral:lncRNA from 1 species